rnacentral:misc_RNA from 1 species
AUUCCUUUCUAGCCCGGACUAGACCAAAAGACGACAGCAAUAAAUGUGCGGGAGCUGUAAAAAGAGAGACAAGGUAAGAGAAGAAAAACUAGAAUAAGAAAAGAAGAAACUAAGAACAAAAAAACAAUAGAGAAAGGAGCGAAAAAUCAAUUUAAGAUAUUCAUUUAAAGAGAAAGAAGAAAGGCUGUGAAAGCUCGAAUAAAUAUUUUACUAUUUAAGUUGUCAACAAUAAUAUAAAGUAUACGUUUAUUAAAUGGGCAAAGCUUAAAAUAGACUUGUAAGGAAACCAACGAAGCCAGAAAGGAAACAAUCGAAUAAUGCGUUUCUUAUUCCUUCUCCUCUCCAUUCUGCUAGCGAAGGUUGAUUAUUCGUUGAGCACUUGUCCAAAACCAUGCGUUUGCAUCCGCCGGAGGGCCUUCUGCGAUCAAACUCAGAUCAAAGCAAUGCCAUCCAACUUACCUAAAUAUCUUACAUAUAUUAACCUGGCUAAAAAUUAUCUUAGACGUUUAAACUGGCGUCGUAUGCGACGACUCAGCAAUUUAAAACACAUCGUAGCCGAUUCCAACAAAAUCUUCACUCUCGAUAACCGUAUUUUCAAAGCUUGUCCUAAUCUGACGUCUUUAUCGAUAGCCGAUAAUAGGUUGGCAAAGAUUAUGGAUAAUGAUACUUUUUCCGGUUUGGGGCGUCUAAGAGCUUUAAAUAUGGCGGAUAAUCGAUUAACGGAUUUGAAAGCAGUUUUACGGGAUUUGGAAAAUUUAUUGUAUUUUUCUGCCGCUGGAAAUCGCUUAACAUCGUUAAGUAGCGAGGAAUUUGUUGGGAAUCCAAAUUUGAAAGGAAAUUAGACGCUUUACGAUUUAUUUUCCUAAAAGAGUAGCUUAGAAAAGUUUUUCAAAUAUAUACAACUAGCAAGGUUGAAGUAACUUAUUUAAAAGCGUCCAAUUUCCUUUUAUCAGUGAUCAACCUCGAAGAAAACGAAAUAAACUAUAUUGCUCCCGACGCCUUUUUAUGUUUAAGGGAUCUAAGAAGGUUGAACUUGCGAAAGAAUCUGUUAAAUUCAAUUUUAAACUUGAACUUUGCACCCUCAGUGAGUUUAAAGGUUUUAGACCUCUCUUCCUCUUCCAUUCAACAAUUAAACUUAUCAAGCGAAUCUGAAAUAUCUUUUCUAAAUGUUCGUUUAAAUGACAACAAUCUAACAUCAUUAACAAUCUUCUCAAGAAACUCUCCAAAACUACUUAACAUUAACAGAAAUAGAUUACAGAAAAUAUCCAAGGAGCUAUUGCAGAUCGAAUUGGAGAGUCUGUACGCAAAAAAGAAUCGGAUUAGCGAAAUCCAGUCACAAUCCUUUGAUGCUGCACGUAAUUUACGUCUUCUGGAUUUAUCGGAUAAUCAAAUUUCGGCCUUACGGACAGGCACGUUCCAAUAUCUGAAAAACUUACAAAUUCUCGAUCUGUCGUUGAAUCCAAUAUCUUCUUUACAAUCCAUUGGAUCAUUACCAAACUUGAGAAUUUUGCACAUGAAUUCCAUCCAAAACAUUAGUCAGAGUAAUGAUAAACUUUGCAGUAUUGGGGUUACAAACUAAAAAAAAAUCAACUGGGGUAAACUAAAGCUAAAAUAAAUAUUUGAACUGCAAAGUAAUCAGUACUCUUUACAUAAUUCUUGAUUGCAGUUAAUGAAUUUAUAUUGGAUUUGAAUGCUAGUAAAUUGCUCAUCUUAAGUUUAUCGAAUUCUUCAACAUUAGCUGAAAUCUUAUUAAAAAAUAUUUCAGUACUCUCCAAAUGGACAAACAUUCAAGAAAUGAACUUGAGCUAUAACGGAUUGCGUAAUUUACCGGCUGAACUCUUGGACACACUGCCUAAUCUCGGUCUUAUUGACGUAACUCAUAAUAAUUGGUAUUGUGAUGUGAAUAUUCGGCCAUUGGUUGAGUGGCUAAAGAUUGAGAAGAUAAAAUUUCCUUCUCCACACAGUCUUUCAUGUUCUAGUCCAAAAAGUUUAAUGAGGACAAAUUUAAUUCAAUUAGAAAUUAACAAGUUAAUACCAAGUUUAAACGAUGCCUCAAAUUCUACAUCACCAUUUAAUGUAAAUGAUAAAAUAUAGGUUCAAAUCUAAGGAAAGCUACAAAAAAGAAAUGCUUAAAGGGAAGAUCGAAUUUGAAGAAAAAAGAAACGAAAGAAAAAUAACGCUCUUUAAAGUCGUCUAAUUUUUAUUAAAUCAAUAUUUUCUCGUUUUAUUUAAAUAAAAGAGAAAAGUGAAAAACAAAAGAAUAAAAGAGAAAUUAUGAUAAAAAAACAGAAAAAAAGGGAAAAUGACAAAAAGGAGAAAAGAAAAAAAAAUGACCGGAAGAUAGAAAGAAGGGAAAAAAGAAAAUUUGGAUAUUUUUAAAUACAUAAUUCCAUUAAUUAUGAAUAAAUUUUAAUACUUUUUUUAAACUUUAUAUUCUAAUGUUUGUCAGUCAAAAUGUCCCAAAAAAAGCAAGAAAAUUGAUAUAGACAGUAUUUGUCAAGUUUUAUUGAAAUGUUCUAAGUUUAUAUUAUAUAUAUAUAUUACCUAUUUACUAUAACAUAUUCGUAUAUUUUCAUGUUACGUAAUCCUACACUGAAACAAAAGAUGUAUUUUUUCUUUUUUGUUAUCGAUGAGAAGGAAAAAAAAGAGUGUUUAAAGAUAAAUAGUGGCUUUACUGAGUAGAGUAAAUAAGCAAGUUUCGAUUAGACCGGUAAUUACAGCUGUUGAAACGAUUUGGGAUAAAAUUAUAAGCAAUCUCAUGUUGCCGAAUUACUUCGAGAAAGUCUUUGAUCCGAUUUUUACGUCACUAAGGAGUUGCCUAAUGCUUAACUUGUGUCUAAUUCUUCGAAUUUCAUAAAAGAAAUACUCAAUAGUAGAAUAGGAAACGACAGUUAGACGGACAAGUAGACAGGGAAAGAUGGAUAGGAAGAAAAAAAAGCGGAAUGAAAAGGAGAGAAAGGGGGAGGCGAGUUAAUGAGAGUGAUGAGGAGAAUGAAGGAUCGAAAUAAUAUAACCAUAGAAAAAAUUAAAGCGUUAGAAGAUAGAGGAAAAAGAAUGGGAAGAGGAAGAGGAAGAGAAUUUAAGCUUUCAAAUAAAAAAAAUCAAUAUUCGACAAGGUUAAAACUUGAUAAAAUAAAGUCGAAGUCAUGUCUUGAAUUUCCCUAAAGUCAUAGCAAUGGGGGGAGCGAGAUACUGACUGUUCUUCUUUCCAAUUACUAUAAUGAGGACGAGACGUUACAGAGUUUGGAGAUGCUUUAUCCGACAGCAAUGUCAAAGUACACAAUGUUGCAAAGAUAGAAGGAAAAAGUCAAAAGCUUCCAGCUACUCUCAAUCGAAUCUAGUCUCAAACAGACUUCUGAAUUGGACUGUAGAUUGAAAUUGAGACGAAAAGUAGGCGAAUGAAUUUGAAACAAGGAACACCUUCUCUAAUAGAAAAAAAAUGGUCGAUCGAUAGAAACGCAUUUGUAGAACGCUUUGAUGCUCCGAUCUUCCUGUUAAUCCCAUGUAAAUAGGCAGAGUGGAAAAUAACGUUUUUCUCAUGCUUGUGGGGCAGGGGGAUCCUUUCUUUAGGGGAUGAUAAAUUGAAAAUGAAGCUGCUUUAGUUGUAGUUAAAAGUAGCACAAAAGUUGGUCAUUAACAAAAUAUUUCUAUGAGCUUUUGUAGUUUUUUUUUAUAAAGAAAGAAAAGUAAACUUUUUCCAUUAAACAAAACAAGGAUUGAUCAUAUAAUUUGCAUCAGAGUUAAUAGUCAGAUUUCAAGAAGAAACUUAUCACUUUGAUGGUCCCAAGUCAUAAAAAUCAAUAUCAAAUAGUUACAUUUACAAGCUUUUUGAAGUCAACUAGCUUGUUAAUCUGGUGUAAAGAUAGACCGAGUGUAAAAACGUUCCCUGAUACACACAGUUCGAAGGCUUUUUUUAUUAUCAUUUCUUGCCUUUUUCCGGCUUUUUAGGCCUCUCCACCAAGAGAAGAGAAUGUAUUGACAGAAGGAAUUAUAACAAAAGGUCAAAGUUAUUAGAAAUUUCCGGUAGAGAGUAUGCAAUAUUGGAAAAAGAAAUGAUCCAGUGAAAAACCAUACCAUAACGGCUUCCAUUACCCGUUUCGCUUUUAUAAGCAGAUCUAAUUAUUACUAGGCGAGCAACUAGUACACUCUCUAUUAAUAAACGUUCUACGUGUUAUAGGCGAAUUUACAAUAGAAAAUAAUAGCUACUAUAAUACUGUAUGCUUUAUUUUACGCAUACAUACGACAGAAAAUACUCAAAAAGUUUAAUUAACCGAAUAUUACCUCGCCUAACUAUCUUUUCUUCUAUGCUUUACUUAUCUUUCCAACAAUUCACCCUACUUUUCGC